CCCCUCCCUCCCUGUCUCCUCAGAGCGAGCACGGUGAUGUGAUUUUGCAUUUCCGCUUUUCUUUUCUCGGCCCUUUCGCUGUUUCUGCUAACGGUGCCUUGCACCUCUGCAGACCCGUCCCAGCUCACGCGUACACACACAUAUAUAUGUGCAUAGGUACGCCGGUACGAUCCCCCUCCCCUCCGCCGUCUGACAUCCACGGAUGUUCCCUCGCCCGCGCUGUGGCUCAUACAGAAAAGCUAAGUCGAGAGCUCACGCCCUACUGCGCAGGUGUGUGAGCCCUGCUGUACAGAGAGAGAGAGAGCAAAGACGGAAGAGAGAUAAGGAUCAGGCUUGCAAGCUCGUAUUGCGGCUGUUUUGGGUGGCCUGCGAACGUCUUGUGGCUCGUGGUGCUUCUACCCCGCGCGCUUGAGUGCUGGUGCACGUUCCUCUUUGUUGCGUCGCCGUCGUCGUCUCUCGAUCGCCACACACCCAAGCGCACACGCGGACGUGUACAGACACGCACACGCACACACGCAGCCGAGGCGCCCAAGUAUUCGUCCUGAGCGUGAAGAAGAUAACAGCUGAAACGAAGACGAUACGUGUGCGGCCUUCAUACCAAGUCCAGCCCGCGUGUGUCAUACCACGCACCUACCCGGAGGGGGUGCGUUGCUUUUAUCCCUUGUGGUUCUCCUUCCUCCUUCGUGCCCAUCCCCCUCUCCCAUCCACCAACCCUCCCCGUACAUACGUUAUAUAGAACGAGAGGGAAGAGAAGAACUCUUUUUCAGUAGCUGUACACCUCCCUACUCCCUAACUCCUUUUCCUGCAGGUGUGUGUGUGUGUGUGUGUGUGUCAGAGUCUUCCGAGGUCGUCCUACCAUUGCUUGAUACGUCAUCAUUUCUUUGCUUGCCUGCUUCCUUCGCUGUGUGUGUCCUUCAUUCUCUCUCUCUGUGUAUAGCUGUACGGUAGUUCUUUCUCGUGUCUCUCUUCUCCAUUUCGUCAGCCCUUCCACAUGUACUCUUUUUCUCCCGUGAUGCCCAGCAAGACCGCCGCUUCGCCAGCCAACGAGCUCGUCAGCAGCAGCAGCAACAGCAGUGUGGAGUUGGUCGACGACAUCAGGGAGUCGCUCGACCGCAUCGAAAAACUCCUCAACCGCGGUCAGCAGCUGCUGUACGGUGAUAACGCGGCCGAUGGCAAGCAGGCGUACAGCAAGGGGGCCGCGGUGUCCCCGGACGGAGAGCCUGCGGACGCAGACGCUGUCUCGAUCCCGACCGCGCGGCACGUAGACGCCAACUGCGGCUCCUACCAGCUGCCGUCUGGCAUGCAUGUCGGCCUCCCCCUGCGCGGCACUGGCACCAGUGCCGCCGCAAACGCGUCCUUUUACCCGCAGAGCACCCCCCAGCACCCGGCAAGCCGCUUUCAGAGAAAUUCAGAAAAAUUGUGCCAGCGCUUGUCGGGGGAAAGCAACCACCGUUACCCGUUGCAGAACGGCUCGAACCGCAGUAGCCUCCACGCCCGCCCGCGUGCGAGCCCGGCGUCGAUGGGCAGCAAACGUCUACCGCCGGGCUUCAAGAAGGACAAAGUGCUGGUCUCCGUGCGUGGACGGCGGAUCGUUCAGAUCCAGAAGGAAGGCGGCAUUGUGCCUAAUUUUGAAGAGGGCCUCGACGCUCAUGACACGCCGCAGAACUUUACCAUCGAAGAGCUGAAGGAGCGCAUCCGCCGUGAACUGGAGGAGUACCGACGCUUGGGCCCCCUCAUGCACCGCUACGAGUCGUUCCGGCGCCGGCAAUGCGUCACUGUCGCCAAGCGUGCGCCGAUCAUGAAGAUUGCUUCGAGAACAUUCACUGCGGCAACGACGGCAGCGCUUGGGAGCAAGCCAGUGAAGCACGUCCCCGCACUAGCCUCUGGGGCCACGCCGCAGAGGGCGGCCAACCGCUUCGGCGUCCAUGCCGCGGCGGCCACAACGAAAUCUGGGCCACAAGCGGCCUCCGCGUCCAGGCAGGCGGCGAAGAGCACUAACGGCACCCCGGUGCGCAGCACGCUACGGAACUCGCACGAGAAGGGCCGCGUGGAGACGAGGCGUGCCAACCGGGAAUCGCACCCCCCUGUGAUGGCGCCGCCGGUGAGCAACACGUACAGCACCUACUACAACCCCCUGCAGAUGAGCGCGGGCAGCCGCAGUGCGCCGUGCGAGCUCUCGUCGAAGCAGACGGCCGGGUGCAGCUACGUCGUGCCGCCGCAUGCGAGCAAUGUGUCAACGCGCAAGCCCCGCUCCCCCUCGGCCGCGGCCGUGUCAAAGUCAUCGACGACGACCAGCGAGCUGGCCACUGAGGAGCCGGCGCGCGUAGAAUCCCUGUCGGGCCCCUUCAUGGACAACAAGGUGCACAGCACAAGCACGCAGCUCUCGGCGAACGCUUCACCUGCGCAGCUGAAGCCGCCCACCCGCACUACUGAGCCCCAAGACGACAUGGAGGAGGUCAGCUUGCCAGACAGCAUGGAGGACUGCGACGUCUCGCAGCCCUACGUUGCACCACUGGAUCUCAGCGUGAUCAAGAAGUAGGAGGUAUGGCAACGCACAUGCAAUGGCCUGACAAGCGCCAAAGCGGGUUGCGACCCCAUUUUCGGGAUCAUAUCAACCGUGAGUUUGUAGUGCCUCUGUUGCGUCAGCACGGACAGAAAGAAAACAUAUGAAGUUUUGCUGGGUUAUGCAUGUACAUAGGUGCCUGCCUCUCUGUGUCUGUGUCUGUGUGUGUGCGUGUGCGUGUGUUGUUUCCUUUCCCCCAUCCUUUUAUUCCGUGUCUUUGCGUUUCUCGCUAAGGUGAUUCCCUCAGUUGGCUUCAUUGCCCUCCCUCCCCCUCUCUCGUGGUGUGUUGCGGGUGCAUCCCUUUGGAGUUGGACGAGAAAGAUCGGGGGAAAGAGAGUAACUGCAAAGGGAAAGGAGAGACGAGUUAUCUCGUUCUGCUUCUGCCUUCGUUUACCUGUUCCUUCUCUGUUUCCCCCUCUCUCUCCCCCCCUCUUCACGUACUGUUUUUGUGGCGUUGCUCUGUGUGUGUGUGUGUGUGUGUGCAGGGCGAGAAAGCAUGGUCCUGUCUGUGUUCACCGCAAGCCAAUGUGUGGCGUCGGAAAGGAGCAGCGGAAGGCAGACGACCCCCCUCUCACUCUGCAGGACAGCCCUCCGCUUCCCGCACGCGCCUCCUCUCCCUCUCCCCCUCCCCUGUCCCUUUUUCUUCGCAUUGGUCUCUCCAAAGUGCGGGCAAGCCGGCGUUCAUGACGGCAUCGUGGGAGAUCGCGUCGCUCCUUUGCCACGCAAGCGCGUGCAUGUUAUCGGAUGCCUUCGGAAGCAUCGAGUUGAAAAGAUGCAACCAAACACGCCACGACGCCCGUUCAGGGGCCAACCAGCGACACGCCGC
rnacentral:misc_RNA from 1 species